GACGAACGCUGGCGGCGUGCUUAACACAUGCAAGUCGAGCGGUAAGGCCCUUUCGGGGGUACACGAGCGGCGAACGGGUGAGUAACACGUGGGUGACCUGCCCUCAGCUCUGGGAUAAGCCUGGGAAACCGGGUCUAAUACCGGAUAUGACUCCAUGACGCAUGUUGUGGGGUGGAAAGCCUUGUGCGGCUGAGGAUGGGCCCGCGGCCUAUCAGCUUGUUGGUGGGGUGAUGGCCUACCAAGGCGACGACGGGUAGCCGGCCUGAGAGGGCGACCGGCCACACUGGGACUGAGACACGGCCCAGACUCCUACGGGAGGCAGCAGGUGGGGAAUCUUGCGCAAUGGGCGAAAGCCUGACGCAGCGACGCCGCGUGAGGG
rnacentral:rRNA from 1 species